GAUGAACGCUGGCGGCGUGCUUAACACAUGCAAGUCGAACGGGAAACCUUUUAUUGAAGCUUCGGCAGAUUUCGCUGGUUUCUAGUGGCGGACGGGUGAGUAACGCGUGGGUAACCUGCCUUAUACAGGGGGAUAACAACCAGAAAUGGUUGCUAAUACCGCAUAAGCGCACAGGACCGCAUGGUCCGGUGUGAAAAACUCCGGUGGUAUAAGAUGGACCCGCGUUGGAUUAGCUAGUUGGCAGGGUAACGGCCUACCAAGGCGACGAUCCAUAGCCGGCCUGAGAGGGUGAACGGCCACAUUGGGACUGAGACACGGCCCAAACUCCUACGGGAGGCAGCAGUGGGGAAUAUUGCACAAUGGGGGAAACCCUGAUGCAGCGACGCCGCGUGAAGGAAGAAGUAUCUCGGUAUGUAAACUUCUAUCAGCAGGGAAGAUAGUGACGGUACCUGACGAAGAAGCCCCGGCUAACUACGUG
rnacentral:rRNA from 1 species